GGAGGUGGUUUUUUCAGUGAGAAAAGCGCCUUUGAAAGCUCACAGUCAUUUUUGAGAGCUGUUGUCUGUUCCAGAAGAGUGGUGUGGAGUGAGAGGAGGGAAAGUGCAUGAGGGAGAGAACCAGAGAAAAGCAGAAACACACAAGAGACAAAAAACAUGAAAAACUUGUCUCUUCCUCAGCAGUGGCCAAUUAGGGCUGUGAAAAAGUGAAGAAGCCCAGUGUGAAACUGUGUUCUGUUGUUUUUUCCUUUUGUGUUUCUCACUCCUGUAGCUUUCUAAUCACACUGAACCACGCCUCCUCUCUGCUCUGUAUCCUGUCGGAUCACAGCAAUUACUCGAGCAGGAUCUGCUCAGUUUCCCCACUAGGGAGAUUUUUGGAACUUGAAGAAAAAGGUUUUCACUGGGACAAAGUCUGUGUCUGAACUUAGAUCUGUCCCACGAGGUUACGUUAAUGACCAGGUGACACAGUGUCCUUACAUGGAACGGUGAGGCUGCGGCCCCACUGCUGAUGGCACCAAAUAAAGCUUCAUCCACUCAAAAGCUCCAUUGUUUAUGCCGUGCACCUCUGCUUUCAAGUGCUGCGAGGCGGUAAACAAACUGAAAGGCACCUUGGUGGAAAAACUUCUCGUACAUUUGUCUCCAGACACGGUUACUGCAAACCAUGAGCAUGCUCUGCCUGUUUAGUGACUGUGUCUGGAGUUGGUGGUGGGAGGGAGGACAGAUGGCUGCAGGGUGAAGGAUGAGGAGGACAAAGAAGACGGAGCAUUAUAUGAGAUGUGCUUGGAAGACUGGAUGCUGAAUCCCAACACUUUCGCUCAUUUUCUCAUGCUUCCAUCUCAAACUGCCCAAAUGAGCCUGAAACACGAAGCCUCUGCAAAACGUCAAAGCACAAAUUUUUCCCUUUCUUUUAUGGAAUUCUGGCAUGGAAGUGUGAUUUCCACUCGAUACAAAAUCCCAGGAAUGGCAGAGCA